CGACUCGCUACGGCAGAUAGUAGUCGCUGGCAAAGCACGCUUCUCGACAGCAGCUAGUGAGAGCAGCGGCGGAGAGGGAGGGGAAAUAAAAAGAAAAGCGGAAAAAGAGAGAGGGUGGAAAAGGAAGAUAGACAUGGAAUGCGUGAAAGAGAAAGAGAGGCAGAAGGAUAGGAAUCAAAGCGUGAAGAGAAUCUAUUACACGUAUUCUGUAUUUACUUUUCAUCUAAAAAAAAGAAGCGACGAAUGAGAUUCAACGAAGUAAAGAUACCGCGAAUCGAGUCCAUCGAGAAAUGGCUGGACGGUAAUGAAGGAAAGUGAACGCAUCGCGUGUGAUAGUAUAUCGUUGCGUGUUUCGUGUGCUUCUGGUCACAUGGGUCACGUGGUAGACGGUGUCCCUUCUCCUCUUAACCGCGGGGGUUCCUCCGAUGGGUGGGGAUGUCAACUGUGAUUGGGAGGGAAAAGAAAAGGGGAAGUGGCAGAGGGUUUCUAGGAUAGAAGAAGAGAAGAUGAAAGAGGACGGAUGAAGAUGAAAAAGACGGAGGAAAAGUCGAAGAGGACAUUAUUUCGACAUCGGUGAUAAUCAUAGGGACGCGUUUCACGGCGUGAAGGAAGAAGAACCAUGAUGUUGUGACCCGGCACCGAUGUCCGCGGUAACCUCGGUUGAACAUUCGUCAGUGUACAUCGGUGUUCGCGUGUGUAGGAGGCACGAAGGAGCAAAGGGGGUUGAUAGCUAAGUACUCAUGGAUGGAGAUUCCUCGGAUUCUUCGAUAGAGUUGAUACGACAAUCUGAGACGGAAUCUACGACAGGUGAAGUAAGCUGCGAUAACCUAGUUGAUAGAGCUGAAAAGACGUACUUAAUAAGAAUACAACGACCGUGAUGGACGCGUAACGCCGUGGUCUGACCGCAAGCUCGUUAUGCCUGUCGGAAGUAUAAAUCAACCGCAAAGUUAUUUCACCGUGCUGUCGGGAACUCCCCGUAGGGCGCCUCUCUGGAAACUGCUACCACCUUCUUCUUCGAGAUAUCGCGCAGGAAAUUCGGCUAAGGAAACGGAGGAAAGGCGGAAAGGCGAUAAUUAGGAGAAAACAGCAAGAAGAUAUUCUCAACUUCGAGAAACGAAUUUAUUCUUCGCGUAAUUUCUGCUCCAUAAUCGAGUUUAGCGAAGUAUUUCGCACUUAGCUCGAACAAUAAAUAAACGUUCCAACUCA